rnacentral:lncRNA from 1 species
GUUGCUGCCAAGAGCGGCAUCGCCAUUACUUCUGUAGCUGGCUUCAUCUUCUAAUUGUCUGUAUGGGAACUGCUGAGUCAUGGCCUGAACCCCUGAUUGAUCUCUUGAGGCAAGCAAUGAGUCAGCCACGGGAGCACAGGUGAAGGCAGUUCACCUGUGCUGGAAGGCGUGGAGCCUGGCUCGACCUCUCCUAGAUCAUUUAAGAGCUGACAACCAGUGGGAAAUUAUCUCUUUUGGAGAUCCACUCUGCUGGAUUUUCAUAAGUGAGCCCAGGAUACGGGUAAGCAUCCUAUCCUCUUUUUGUUAUUAUAACCUACUUUGCCUAACUCUCUUGUUUAUUUCAUAAUUAUAACAUCUCAAUAUUCUUUGAUUAUACACUGCCACUACACAAACCUGUUGCUCUCUGUUUCUGAGUCUCUUCUGUUAUGCUCCUAUACACCAAUACUUUGGAGGGACAGAAUCGCUAAUAUAUAUUGCAUUGAAGAAACCUCAGCAUUGCAGAGGCCUCGCCUUGCCAUUGAUGCUGAAACCCACAGAAAUGGCUUGGUAUUUCAUCUGAAGAGCGGGCUGUAUGGGGUAAAAGGACNNNNNNNNNNNNNNNNNNNNNNNNNNNNNNNUUCUACAAGAACAUACAUCUCAAAAAUCAUCAGACUGGAGAUAGAGUGCAAACCAAACAACGGGCCACAUAGACAAGGAGCUUCUAAGAUACCAGGACAAGAUAUGACAUGCAGUCUGUAUUUUUCUCAGUUAUUUAGGCACUGUGCAGUUCCUAGUUCAUCUCCUGGCUUAGGAACCCUGAGAAUCCAGCGGACGCAGGCAGAUGUAUAUGCAUAAAAACCCUGGAAGAGGAGGGCUGUUGAACGCGCCCACACCUCCGUUUGCUUGGCAGCACUGGGCUGCUGAACACCAGUACGGCAUCAUACC